UUCAUUCUCCGAGAUGAAGAUGAGGCACCACCAAGAGACACUCUGCAGAGGAGCUCCCAACUUUGGGAAGAACAAGGUUUGGGAUUUUAGCUCUGCUUUCAAUCUUUUUCAGAAUAAGAGGAUACAAACCAAAACAAGACAUAAUAGAGACAUGCAGGAAGUGGAAACGAUACACACCACCAUGUGAACCUAGGAGAGAUCAACAUACAAUUUACAUAAGUCACCGUAAACAAGCUUUGGGUGGAACUGAGGCAAGAAAAGAAUGGCAGUGUGUUGCUGCGACUUCCCUGUGUAUAAAAUAAUUUCUGUGCUCUUGCACAAGCAGAAGACAAGUGACGGAAAGCAACAGGGCACAGGCCCUUGCAAGGGAUGCCCAUGCCCAGUAACCAGGUUGGCCAGUUCAGUGACAGAAGUAUCUGUACGUGAAAAAGAAAAAAUCCAGAAGUUAUACACAGUUCUGAAUGCAAAUGCAUGCAAAAGUGACCUGGGAGAAGAAGUACAGAGCUGGUUUGGAGUGUCUUAGUGAAAAAGAAAGUUCUGUAAUGUGACCAGGCAUUCUAUGGCCAUCUGAAAAAAAGUCAACUGCACCCAGGUCCCAAUUAAGACAGGGAUUUUGGAGAGAAUCUACAAUCAUAGAAUGGUUUGGGUUCGAAGGGGCCUUUAAGAUCAUCUAGUUACAAUAUCCCUGCUAGUUGUAAUUGUUUUGACUUUGGUGAAAAUACUCAUUUGUUCAACAUUGGAAUGAAUGAAAUGAGUCCUACAGUGUUACGCAUACAGAUAAGACAAAUGUUAGUUCAGGUGGGGUAUUAUGCUAUUUUGGGACAGAUGUUCAAAAGCACUGAGGUCAGUGGCACUAAAAUAGAGUUGAAUUUGGCCCUGUUCAUGCAUUUAUACACUCUGCUGCACUAUGUCUUUUCCUUUCCUUCAUUUUUUCAUUCCAGUGUCUCACUUCACAACAAACUGUAUGAGACAAAGCCUCCUCAGGGAACAGCCAGAUAUUUGAAAUUCACAUCACUUUUACCCUUAAGCCUGUCAGAUGAUCAGAUAGCCGAGAAAGUGCUAAUAGCUUAUGCUCUGGUGAAAUAUGUUUUUCUGUACAUGAUUACCUUUGUAUUUUGUUCCCCUUAUCCCUGAUUGUCAGCAUUUUAAUUAAAAGUAGAGGUGUGAGAACAUGGGAAAACCUGUCCGCAGAACAAGGCUGACUUUGAUUUAAGUUAGUGUACUAAGUUUGUAAAUUUGGAACCCAAUUUUCUGCUGCUGUCAUUUGGAGUGGUACCACGGAAGCUGAUGCUGAGCAAUUCCAGCUUUCCUUCAGAGACACCUACAUCUUGGCAAAUAUGGCAGAGGGAGCAUAGUGACAUCAGCCAGUAAGCCUUGGAGAAACCUCCAUGGGUGGUUUAAGCUGCUACUGCUUCUCUGAUUUCAAGCUUAUGUCCUUACAACACUGGAAGACCAUGGGAUGGUUGCUCAGCUUUGCCAGUUGCUCAGCUCCAUCAUGGUCAGUUUUCUGGUGCUUAAAAUCUGUCCCAGUCAGCUCUGUGGCUGGAUCUAACAGAUCUACCUUUUGUCUUCCAGAGACGACUGAUCUGUAAUGAAUAAAAUAAGUAGUCUGCCUAAUUCCUCAGCUGCAGUAUUUUGGUGUACAUUGAAAUCCAGAAGGAGCACAUUGAUUUUCAUUUGGCCAUCCAGGAUAAGUGAAGAUGGGAACCUCCUUAAUAAGCACAACUCAAAUCUCUGCAGCUCGUAAGACAAAUAACCAAAGAAGAAGGCACGCUACCAUGUGGAUAUUCACUCCCCUUUAUUGCAGAGGAAAAACUUCUGCAGAAGGAUGGGAGAAACAACAAAGGGCAGUAACAUUUUCAUCUGUCACUACAAUCCUAGCUAUUUUAUUUGCUGACUUCUGUGGUAUUUCACAUAAGGUUUAAUUAUAUACAGAUUCACAGCCACCUAAUAUAUUGACAACAGCUCUGGCUUUGACAGGGUUGGCCUGUUCAAAGUCACAUUUAGGCACAAUUAUGAUCCAGAAUUAGAUCUCCUCCAUAUUCCCUAAGAGGCCCGAGUGGUAGCAACCACAGAUCUUUGUUGGAUUCACCAUUGUGAAUCUCUCUUCUGGAGAUGAAAAUUUUACACCUGAAUUACACAAAGGCUUUUUGAAAGUAGCUAAGCUCUGUUGAAAUUUUUAGAAUAGAAAUUGUGAAAGAAAAGGAAGUCCCUAUGCUUCUCCUUGCUGUACAGUACUUGAGAUUACUGCUUUACUUUUCUCAAGAAUUUUCUGAUAACAAAAACUGCCUUAUUCAUACCAACACAAAACUAACUCUCCAUUGCAAGGCACAGUGGUACUGUUUUAUCAUAAAUCAGUGAGAAGAUUAGAAUAUAUGAUUAUUUUUUUUUUUCAGGUGGAGACAUAGUGGUAAAAACAACCAAGCCAGGUAACACAAUAAUUUGACAGAAAACCACAAGAUGAAAGGAAGUAAAACAAUAUGAUACAGAUGAAAGGUGAUAAAGCAAAAACAUGACAAGAACUGGGCGUGAAGUAACAGCAUUAGGACACGAGAUAAUAUGAAGUGAUGAAAAAGAAUCAGCCUGAUAUGUUUUCUGAUGAUGCUACAUAGGAAGAUGCAUUAUGAGGAUACGUUACAGUGACAAAACAUACUUUUGGACUACACAACAGACAAUGCAUAAAUGGAAAAAACAGAAAACCACACAGGAGAUAGAACAAAACAUUCUGCUAUUUAUACAUUAAUGAUAUUAUUUCAAUUUUAAGUAGCUGAAACCAAUAGAAGUGUUCAUGUGGAGACAUUAAAUUAAUUGAAGGCAUUCAUUUGAUACAAAUAACCUAAAUGUCUCAUCAAAGACAGCAGCAGCCAGCAGAAAUACUCUGCUCUCCAAGUACCAAUACCACAUUCCAGGGCUGUGUGGUAUAACUAUCAGGGUGACAAGACUGAUGUGUGACUGGGAUUUAGGAGAGUGAGAGAGCAGCCCUUGACCCUUACCUAUGUGAGCAAGAGAAGAUGUGCAGAUGAAAGUUCCAGUCUAUUUUAUUCCACUGUAAUAUAUCAUACUGUUGAGUCCUAUAUAAUAAAGUCGGGUGCCUCUGCUAUGUUUAUGUAUCGCUGUAUUUAAAACAAGGUAAAAUCACUGAAGUUU
ensembl:lncRNA